rnacentral:rRNA from 1 species
CUCGAGUGGCGAACGGGUGAGUAACACGUGAGUAACCUGCCCUUGACUUUGGGAUAACUUCAGGAAACUGGGGCUAAUACCGGAUAGGAGCUCCUGCUGCAUGGUGGGGGUUGGAAAGUUUCGGCGGUUGGGGAUGGACUCGCGGCUUAUCAGCUUGUUGGUGGGGUAGUGGCUUACCAAGGCUUUGACGGGUAGCCGGCCUGAGAGGGUGACCGGCCACAUUGGGACUGAGAUACGGCCCAGACUCCUACGGGAGGCAGCAG